CUGCAGCCUCGGCGAGGGACCGGCCCGCGGAGCCCCGAGCCCGCAGCAGACGACGCGCGGGGAGAGGAAGGAAACCGCCCCUGGCCCGGCAGCUGUGUAUCCAGCGCUGAGAUAACACCCAGUCUCUGCACUCAAAUACGCCUCAGCAUUGUGGAAGAUACACAUGAAAUAAUGACCAUGCAAUGGGACAAAUGAGCAGACUAGCUACCUUGGGAAAGACAGAGAAGCAGGGUCAUACCAGGAGAUGAAGAAAAGCCAGCCUCCAGGAGUGUGCUGAGACAGCAAGAGAAGGAAGGCAAGUUGGGCAAGUCCAUACUUGAGCAAUUUGAAGUGGCGCAAACCAGGAAGGGGAAAUCUGUGGUUUAAAUUCUUUAUGCCUCAUCCUCUGAAUGCUGGAGGCUUGCUGUAGGCUGUAUGCUGUUAAUGCUAAUCGUGAUAGGGGUUUUUACCUCCGACUGACUCCUACAUGUUAGCAUUAACAGGGUAUGAUGCCUGUUACUAGCAUUCACGUGGGACAAAAUGCUGCCGUGGGAGGAUGACAAAGAAGCAUGAGUCACUCUGCUGGAUAAACUUAGACUUCAGGCUUUAUCAUUUUUUAAUUUGUUAAUCAAAAUCUGAUCCCUGAGAUGUUCCACUUUAAGUUUUAAGAUUAAGGUUAUUUAAAAGAUUUAUCAGCAGUAUCUUGAAUGCAGACAUUUUCACUUUAAUCUUCAAGCCCACAUCUAUGUUUUUAUCAUUAAUAGAAAAUGUGUUUGUGUCAUUUUGAA